GUCGCCGCUUACCUUCCCCAGCUAGUGGGUAGGAGCAGGAGGACAGCGGCCUGCCAACAGGUUGUUCCAGGCGAUAGGCGGCUUUGGGGUCGCCCCAGGAGUCCAGCUGCGAGAACCAAUGGGAUUUGAAAAUGGCCUUGAUGAUUCAGACGGCCGUGACGUCAGCGGGGUCAAGUUGUCGGCAGGCGGAGCGCGCAGAGUGGAGUAACAGCGCCAUCUAGCAGCUGCCUCGGUAGGAAGAGUGGGGUUUGUUUAUCCAGUAACCAGCCUGUAACUCCUGGGGAGAAGGGGGCGGAGAGGGGGAAAAUGCGGGAGAGAGGGAGAGAGCGAGGCAACCCGGGGCUCAAAACAGUCAAAUUCAAAUUAAAAGGUCGAGACACGAAUCAGGAAUAUUCCGGGAAAGAAAGAGGGAACCUGCGGAGCCUCGGUCAGUUUGGAGGAGUCACGUAUCACACGGGAAACCAGCACACAAGACGCAACAAAACCCGACCCAGAGAAGCGUCCUUUACAGAGCGCACGGGCUGGGAGCAUGUUUGAAAGAAGACAGACCAGUCUAUUUUUGUGGUUGUUUUUAAAUAAAAGGAAGAAA
rnacentral:lncRNA from 1 species